rnacentral:rRNA from 1 species
CAGUCGCCACGGUAAUACGGAGGGUGCAAGCGUUAAUCGGAAUUACUGGGCGUAAAGCGCACGCAGGCGGUCUGACAAGUCAGAUGUGAAAUCCCCGGGCUUAACCUGGGAACUGCAUUUGAAACUGUCAGGCUGGAGUCUUGUAGAGGGGGGUGGAAUUCCAGGUGUAGCGGUGAAAUGCGUAGAGAUCUGGAGGAAUACCGGUGGCGAAGGCGGCCCCCUGGACAAAGACUGACGCUCAGGUGCGAAAGCGUGGGGAGCAAACAGGAUUAGAUACCGUGUAGUCCCUGUCUCUUAUACA